rnacentral:rRNA from 1 species
UACGUAGGUGACAAGCGUUGUCCGGAUUUACUGGGCGUAAAGAGCGCGCAGGCGGUCGUUCAAGUCGAGUGUGAAAGCCCCCGGCUCAACUGGGGAGGGUCACUCGAUACUGAUCGACUCGAAGGCAGGAGAGGGUAGUGGAAUUCCCGGUGUAGUGGUGAAAUGCGUAGAUAUCUGGAGGAACACCCGUGGCGAAAGCGAGUUACUGGGACGGUACUGACACUGAGGAACGAAAGCCUGGGGAGCGAAAGGG